GUGAACGCUGGCGGUAGGCCUCACACCUGCAAGUCGAACGGCAGCACAGUAAGAGCUUGCUCUUACGGGUGGCGAGUGGCGGACGGGUGAGGAAUACAUCGGAAUCUACUUUUUCGUGGGGGAUAACGUAGGGAAACUUACGCUAAUACCGCAUACGACCUACGGGUGAAAGCAGGGGAUCUUCGGACCUUGCGCGAUUGAAUGAGCCGAUGUCGGAUUAGCUAGUUGGCGGGGUAAAGGCCCACCAAGGCGACGAUCCGUAGCUGGUCUGAGAGGAUGAUCAGCCACACUGGAACUGAGACACGGUCCAGACUCCUACGGGAGGCAGCAGUGGGGAAUAUUGGACAAUGGGCGCAAGCCUGAUCCAGCCAUACCGCGUGGGUGAAGAAGGCCUUCGGGUUGUAAAGCCCUUUUGUUGGGAAAGAAAAGCAGCAGGUUAAUACCCCGCUGUUCUGACGGUACCCAAAGAAUAAGCACCGGCUAACUUCGUGC
rnacentral:rRNA from 1 species